rnacentral:rRNA from 1 species
CAACUUUCAACAACGGAUCUCUUGGCUCUCGCAUCGAUGAAGAACGCAGCGAAAUGCGAUAAGUAAUGUGAAUUGCAGAAUUCAGUGAAUCAUCGAAUCUUUGAACGCACCUUGCGCCCCUUGGUAUUCCGAGGGGCACGCCUGUUUGAGUGUCGUGA